GCUGAUGUGGCUCAAUGGUAGAGCAGCUCAUUCGUAAUGAGCAGGUUGGGGGUUCGAUUCCCUUCAUCAGCUCCA
rnacentral:tRNA from 3 species